rnacentral:rRNA from 1 species
AUUGAACGCUGGCGGCAUGCCUAACACAUGCAAGUCGAGCGGUUGAAGGGAGCUUUCUCCUUGAUUCAGCGUCGGGCGGGUGAGUAAUACCUAUGAAUCUGCCUGCUAGUGGGGGAUAACGUCCGUAAACGGGCGCUACUACCGCAUACGUCCUGCGGGAGAAAGUGGGGUAUCUUCUGACCUCACGCUCUCCGAUACGCCUAGGUCGGAUUAGCUAGUUGGUGGGGUAAAGUCCUACCACGGCGACGAUCCGUAACUGGUCUGAGAGGAUGAUGAGUCACACUGGAACUGAGAAACGGUCCAGACUCCUACGGGAGGCAGCAGUGGGGAAUAUUGGACAAUGGGCGAAAGCCUGAUCCAGACAGGCCGCGGGGGUGAAGAAGGUCUUCGGAUUGUAAAGCACUUUAAGUGGGGAGGAAGGGUAGGAAGUUAAAACCUUGAUGUUGUGACGUUACCAACAGAAUAAGCACCGGCUAACUUCGUG